AUUGAACGCUGGCGGCAGGCCUAACACAUGCAAGUCGAACGAGUGGCGGACGGGUGAGUAAUGUCUGGGAAACUGCCUGAUGGAGGGGGAUAACUACUGGAAACGGUAGCUAAUACCGCAUACCAUCGGAUGUGCCCAGAUGGGAUUAGCUCGUGGGUGGGGUAAAGGCUCACCUAGGCGACGAUCCCUAGCUGGUCUUAGAGGAUGACCAGCCAACCUGGAACUGAGACCCGUUCCGGACUCCUACGGUAGGCAGCAGUGGGGAAUAUUGCCCAAUGGGCGCAAGCCUGAUGCAGCCAUGCCGCGUGUAUGAAGAAGGCCUUCGGGUUGUAAAGUACUUUCAGCGGGGAGGCGUUACCCGCAGAAGAAGCACCGGCUAACUCCGUGCCAGCCGCCGCGGUAAUUC
rnacentral:rRNA from 1 species